AGCCAACAUGCUGCAGUGGUUUGAGUGUUAGACUACAACUCUGGAGACCAGGGUUCAAAUCCCAGCUCCGCUA